rnacentral:rRNA from 1 species
AGCAGCCGCGGUAAUUCCAGCUCCAAUAGCGUAUAUUAAAGUUGUUGCAGUUAAAAAAGCUCGUAGUUGAACUUCAGGCCUGUCCAGACGGUCCGCCUUAAUUGGUGUGUACUGUCCUUGGGUGGGUCCUACCUUCUGGCGAAGCGGCAUGGCCUUAAUUGGUUGUGUCGGGGAACCAGGACUUUUACUGUGAAAAAAAUUAGAGUGUUUAAAGCAGGCUUACGCUUGAAUACAUUAGCAUGGAAUAAUGAAAUAGGACGUUUGAACCUAUUUUGUUGGUUUCUAGGAUCGACGUAAUGAUUAAUAGGGAUAGUUGGGGCAUUAGUAUUCAAUUGUCAGAGGUGAAAUUCUUGGAUUUAUUGAAGACUAACUACUGCGAAAGCAUUUGCCAAGGAUGUUUUCAUUAAUCAAGAACGAAAGUUAGGGGAUCGAAGACGAUCAGAUACCGUCGUAGUCUUAACCAUAAACUAUGCCGACUAGGGAUCGGAUGAUGUUAAUUUUUAAUGUACUCAUUCGGCG